CUGAAGGGACAGGAGGGCCAGCCAUGCUCCAGGGUAGCUGAGGGGAUGGUAGACCGGUGACGUGCACUUCAUUUACGAUGUAGGUCACCCGUUUCACUAUCCGUCGGCACCCGGUCCAUCUG
rnacentral:pre_miRNA from 2 species